UAGGGAAUCUUCGGCAAUGGGGGGAACCCUGGCCGAGCAACGCCACGUGAGUGAAGAAGGUUUUCGGAUCGUAAAGCUCUGUUGUUAAGGAAGAACGAGUGUGAGAAUGGAAAGUUCAUACUGUGACGGUACUUAACCAGAAAGGGACGGCUAACUACGUGCCAGCAGCCGCGGUAAUACGUAGGUCCCGAGCGUUGUCCGGAUUUAUUGGGCGUAAAGCGAGCGCAGGCGGUUAGAUAAGUCUGAAGUUAAAGGCAGUGGCUCAACCAUUGUAGGCUUUGGAAACUGUUUAACUUGAGUGCAGAAGGGGAGAGUGGAAUUCCAUGUGUAGCGGUGAAAUGCGUAGAUAUAUGGAGGAACACCGGUGGCGAAAGCGGCUCUCUGGUCUGUAACUGACGCUGAGGCUCGAAAGCGUGGGGAGCGAACAGGAUUAGAUACCCUGGUAGUCCACGCCGUAAACGAUGAGUGCUAGGUGUUAGGUCCUUUCCGGGACUUAGUGCCGCAGCUAACGCAUUAAGCACUCCGCCUGGGGAGUACGACCGCAAGGUUG
rnacentral:rRNA from 1 species